UCGGUUCGGGACCUCGCGCUCAGAGCGACCGCGCCCAGGUUUGGAGCUUGGAAGCGAGUGCGCGCUCCGUCCCGAGGCAAACCCACACCUUCUCCCAUCGCCCCUCGCCGCGGGAGUCCAAAGCACGUUCCUGGAUGCUUUGCGCGAAAAGGUUAAGUGUGAACCACACCUGCCCCAUCUGGAGAAUGGAGUCCCGGCUUUGAACUUGAAAAGCACCGUCUGGGCAUAAACCAUGGGCCUACGGAUGCUAGAAGCCCAAAUGCGGGGUUUGGGGCCGAGAUUCACCAACAAAGGAGAGAUUUCUUAAGCGCAGGACCUUUUCGGACCACCUUGGUGAUUCGAAAAAGGAAAGAAGAACUGGAAAAAUGGGAGAGAGCUUUACCACUCAAAAUGUGGCCUGACAAGGAUGAGAUUGAAAGUAGCAAUCAGAGAAGAGGAAAAUCUGACAGAGGGGAGUCAUGGGCCAAAAGAAAGGGCACGAUCAACAGCAUCAACUAUCAACAGAAUUUGAAGCAAAAAAACUAAGAUGUGUCUUUCAGAUACAGCAAGCAGUAAAGAAAGUAAAAUCAAGUGGUUGAGUAAUUUUCCCAAGGACAAGCCGGCAGACUGUUUCCAGAGGACAGCCAAGACCCUCGCUCCCAAUUCCAUACGUCCCCUUGCAAUGUGACUUUACCACUCCUUUCACCAAGAAGUGGAGACUGUUUCCCUUCCCCUUGAAUCUAGGUUGACCUGUGACUUUUAAUCAAUAAAAUGUGUGGAAGUGAC